rnacentral:tRNA from 1 species
GUUAGGAUCUGCUACACAAGCAAUUGGGCCCAUACCCCAAAAACGGCAUCACACAUACCUCCUAACA